rnacentral:rRNA from 1 species
GAGUUUGAUCAUGGCUCAGAUUGAACGCUGGCGGCAGGCCUAACACAUGCAAGUCGAGCGGAUGACGGGAGCUUGCUCCUUGAUUCAGCGGCGGACGGGUGAGUAAUGCCUAGGAAUCUGCCUGGUAGUGGGGGACAACGUUUCGAAAGGAACGCUAAUACCGCAUACGUCCUACGGGAGAAAGCAGGGGACCUUCGGGCCUUGCGCUAUCAGAUGAGCCUAGGUCGGAUUAGCUAGUUGGUGGGGUAAUGGCUCACCAAGGCGACGAUCCGUAACUGGUCUGAGAGGAUGAUCAGUCACACUGGAACUGAGACACGGUCCAGACUCCUACGGGAGGCAGCAGUGGGGAAUAUUGGACAACGGGCGAAAGCCUGAUCCAGCCAUGCCGCGUGUGUGAAGAAGGUCUUCGGAUUGUAAAGCACUUUAAGUUGGGAGGAAGGGCAGUAAGUUAAUACCUUGCUGUUUGACGUUACCGACAGGAUAAGCACCGGCUAACUCU